GGACCCGCACAAGUAGUGGAGCAUGUGGUUUAAUUCGAAGAUAUGCGCAGAACCUUACCAACACUUGACAUGUUCGUCGCGACUUUAAGAGAUUAAAGUUUUCGGUUCGGCCGGACGAAACACAGGUGCUGCAUGGCUGUCGUCAGCUCGUGUCGUGAGAUGUUGGGUUAAGUCCCGCAACGAGCGCAACCCUCACUUUUAGUUGCCAUCAUUUAGUUGGGCACUCUGAAAGAACUGCCAGUGAUAAGCUGGAGGAAGGUGGGGAUGACGUCAAGUCCUCAUGGCCCUUACGUGUUGGGCUACACACGUGCUACAAUGGUAUUUACAACAGGAAGCAAGACGGCGACGUUAAGCAAAUCCCUAAAAGAUACCUCAGUUCGGAUUGCACUCUGCAACUCGAGUGCAUGAAGCUGGAAUUACUAGUAAUCG
rnacentral:rRNA from 1 species